rnacentral:misc_RNA from 1 species
AGUCGUAACAAGGUUUCCGUAGGUGAACCUGCGGAAGGAUCAUUAACAAAUCAUUUGUGCGCUUCGGCGCAUAUAAACCCGAACCCGUGCAGCAAUGCCGGGCUAGGUGUGCAUUCUCAUUCACAUGAGGGUGUACGGCCGAGACUUUGAGUACGCAAGUGCUCAGGUCAACAGCCACAUAGACGCUUGUAUGUUUUGACAGAGUUUAGUUGACAUCUUUAAAAAUGACAACUUUUAACAAUGGAUCUCUUGGCUCUU